rnacentral:rRNA from 1 species
CCUACGGGAGGCAGCAGUCGAGACUCAUUCACAAUGGGGGAAACCCUGAUGGUGCGACGCCGCGUGGGGGAAUGAAGGUCUUCGGAUUGUAAACCCCUGUCAUGUGGGAGCAAAUUAAAAAGAUAGUACCCCAAGAGGAAGAGACGGCUAACUCUGUGCCAGCAGCCGCGGUAAUACAGAGGUCUCAAGCGUUGUUCGGAAUCACUGGGCGUAAAGCGUGCGUAGGCUGUUUCGUAAGUCGUGUGUGAAAGGCGCGGGCUCAACCCGCGGACGGCACAUGAUACUGCGAGACUAGAGUAAUGGAGGGGGAACCGGAAUUCUCGGUGUAGCAGUGAAAUGCGUAGAUAUCGAGAGGAACACUCGUGGCGAAGGCGGGUUCCUGGACAUUAACUGACGCUGAGGCACGAAGGCCAGGGGAGCGAAAGGGAUUAGAUACCCUUGUAGUC